CUGAAAUAUUUCAUGAAACUACUAUAAAGAAGCAGGACAAUAGACUGUGACAUCAUCAAAACUGCUUAACAACCAGUCACAAGUAUGCAAUCAUUUGCUGAGAGCUUAGGAAGUUCUUCAGCCCAACAGACCUCUUUAUGCACAGUGGGUACACAGAAAUGCUGACAGGGCACAUGGAGAGGACAUUGAUCUGCCAAGACUAUCAUAUUUCUGUGAUGCCUCUCAUUUCUACUUUAUUUUGGCUUUUCUUUUGAUUUUUGACACUGAAUGUUGGAUUCCUUUCUGCAUCUCAACCUGUUCCUUUUUCUUGAAAUUAUAAUAGAAGACAUAUUCUUUGCAAGAUUGUAUGCCUUUUCUUUUACACAGAUGUCUUAAUAUUUCAGUUUAUUUCAGAUGCUUUAAUAAUUUUUCAUCAAGGGUCAGUUAAUAUGUUAACAGAAUGCAGUGAAAAAAAAGUAUAUAAUUUAGAGCUCUAGUCUGCAGUGUUGGUAAUCUGUUGUCAUCUAAUAGUUAUGUGGCUAUAAAGGGCUCCCAGCCUCCAUGAGUCCUAUUUCUAUAUCUUUAAAGGGAUAGAAAUGUUUGUGGUGAAUGAGGCUUCCAAUAGAGUAAGUUCUCAAAAGUGCUUUGUACAGUGAAAUACUAAUGCUAUUAUUACUUUAAGACUUGAUGUUUCUUUGUCUUCCCUUCCUCCUAAUGUCUCUGAGGCUUUCCACAUCUAUAAUUGAAUCUGCUGUUUUGUCUUUGUUAAUAUUCCAAGUGUAUGCUAAAACCUAAAUGCAACCAUGCUCUGGAGCCCACACGUUAGCGUCCCAUUCUCUCCCUGAUUAUCUAGAGGGACCAGGCACUGGUCUGGGCAGGGGAGCGUGCAGUGUGGCACACUGAACUUUGAACAAUGAAAUGACAGAGAUAAAUUAGAAAUGUGCUACAAAGAGCCAGUAAGAAUGAGACAAAUUUUCAUUUUAUUGCAUACUUAUGGCCUAGAACAACAGCACGUGGUAGGUAUUUAAUGGAUAAUUUUGAGCACCUACUAGGCGCAUUCUGCUGUAAAUUUGUAAACAUACAAGGCACUGAAUGUUUCAAAAUAAAGUAAUCUGGAGGAAUAGACA
rnacentral:lncRNA from 1 species